AUUUGCCAAAUAAUCUUUCAGGGGAACAACAGCCCUAGGGCUUCAUGAUCCCUCCAGUUUAAUUUCGGGUUUGGAAUCGGGAAGGGAUGAGGUAGCCCCCCCAGAAUCCAUUCCCCACUUUCUGCAGCAAUAUUUCUAAAAGAUUCUCUCUCUUUCUCUGUCUUUGAUGGCAAAGCAUCACCAGGCCAUUAUCUCACUCUAUUUCUCUCUCUCCCCACCGUUUAUGCAGGAUACUGAGCAUGGUAGGGGUGGGGAAAAAUAGGCCCCUGGGCCAGAUCCGGCCCCUAGUAGACGUUGUUGUUUAGUAGCAUGCCCCCUUCCUCCCCCAUGGCAAGCUAAGAAGGAAGAAGAAGGGUGUGGUGAAGAAAUUGCAUAUGCAGAACAGGGUUUGGCUGCUGGACAUGGGAAGGAUGGGAACUGGGUUGCUGACUUCAAAGUGGCUGUCCGGAAAGGAGCCAGAACUUUAACCUUUAUGGGAUCCAAAUGUCUGCUGAAUGGAUGACGUGCCUACGAUAAUUAAGGUAAAUAUGAGAAUUAAUAUUGUUUAUGCAAUAAGUUGAGAGCUAAAUCAGAACAGUGCAGCUUGCAGAUCCGAUACUUGUAUUAGUAGCAAAAUGUGUAUGAGGGUACCUGCUUUUACGCAUAUGGUAAUCUAGAACAGUGGUUCUUAACCUUGGGUUACUCAUGUGUUUUUGGACUGCAACUCCCAGAAGCCUUCACCACCAGCUGUGCUAGCUGGGGUUUCUGGGAGUUGCAGUUCAAAAACACCCGAGUAGCCCACGGUUAAGAACCACUGAUAUAGAAUACAUGUCUUUAUAUUUUUAUUUCUUGCACUUUCUGCUGGCCCACCUGAAUACUUUUACUGAGGCCAGAGUGUGAUUGCCUUUGUAAUUUCUCUAGCCUGCUCAGAUGCACACAAGUACGAUGUAUUGUCUUGAACCCAUCCAUUUAUAAUGGAUGAAAUCCUGCUACAGUGCUAUACUUGUCAGACUUGAAGAUACGAAGCCAUUAGCCCUAGUUGUGCCAAGGUGCAGCUGCUAUUUGCGAAAUACCUUAUUUCCUUGGAAAUGAGACCUAACCUGAAAAUAAGCAAUGGUAUGAUUUUCCAGGAUGUUCGUCAUAUAAGCCCUACCCCAAAAAUAAGCCCCAGUUAAGUGAACCCCCGCCCUCCACCCUUGUGCAGCAACCAGAAGAAGAUGACAUGACUGUAUUUGAAUAAAUGUAGAUGGUUGUACA
rnacentral:lncRNA from 1 species